ACAUUUCUAGCUUGCUAGAAGAUGACGAGCGGCGGACGGGUGAGUAAUGCUUGGGAAUAUGCCUUAGGGUGGGGGACAACAGUUGGAAACGACUGCUAAUACCGCAUAACGUCUACGGACCAAAGGGGGCUUCGGCUCUCGCCCUUAGAUUAGCCCAAGUGGGAUUAGCUAGUUGGUGAGGUAAUGGCUCACCAAGGCGACGAUCCCUAGCUGGUUUGAGAGGAUGAUCAGCCACACUGGAACUGAGACACGGUCCAGACUCCUGCGGGAGGCAGCAGUGGGGAAUAUUGCACAAUGGGCGCAAGCCUGAUGCAGCCAUGCUGCGUGUGUGAAGAAGGCCUUAGGGUUGUAAAGCACUUUCAGUAAGGAGGAAAGGUUAGUAGUUAAUACCUGCUAGCUGUGACGUUACUUACAGAAGAAGCACCGGCUAACUCCGUGCCAGCAGCCGCGGUAAUACGGAGGGUGCGAGCGUUAAUCGGAAUUACUGGGCGUAAAGCGUACGCAGGCGGUUUGUUAAGCGAGAUGUGAAAGCCCCGGGCUCAACCUGGGAACUGCAUUUCGAACUGGCAAACUAGA
rnacentral:rRNA from 1 species